UGUGACACGAAAUACGACAUGAUAAAAACUCUAUUUGUAAUGAAGUGUUAUCAUUUCUGGGGUUAUCGUUUUCGAUAAAAGAUCAGAGUUCCAAUGUCCCCCGCAUUGGACAUAUUUUAUAUAUCCAAGAUACAAGGGCAAAAACUAAACAAAGCACUUUUUUCUUUUUUUCUUUUUUUUAUUUAUAUCUCGAGAGAAAUAAAAGCUUCAGAACUGAAUGGGAUUUGCAUUAUAAUUUAUAUUUCCAAGGGGCAUAAUUGUUU
rnacentral:lncRNA from 1 species